rnacentral:lncRNA from 1 species
GAAGCACCUUUGUGGCCCAGAAGGUGCCAAAAACAUCCUGGGGAUAAGCAGUCCUUAGCAAAGAGGGGCCAGGCCUGAGGUGGGGGAGGUGGCCUUACACGGAAGCCCUGGAGAAGUGAAACAGAGGAUGCAGUGUCCAGGGCAUCAUCUAUGAAUGGAGACAACCUUUACCGGACACCAAACCUACCAGCACCAUGACCUUGAACUUUCCAGCCUUCUGAACUAUGGCGUACUGCUCUGUUGCCCAGGUUAGAGUGCAGUGGCUUGAUCAUAGCUCACUGCAGCCUUGAGCUCCUAGGCUCAAGCAGUCCUCUUGCCUCAGCCUCCUGAAUAGCUGGGACUACAGGUUCUAUUCUGAGGUACUAAGGUUAAGACCUCAACAUAUGAAUUCUGGAGGACAAAAUUCAACCCAGAAGUCUACCUUGUAUUGGGUCCUCACGGCAAGGCUGCAAAACCCGGGGGGUUGGUGGCCCAGUCCCACCUCCCAUGAGCUAAUGAAUGUGGGGCUCAGGGAGGACUGACAGGACUAGAGUUGACAACCAUUCAUCCAACAAACAUUUACUGCACGAGGAAGAGAGGUGAUCAAGGCACUGCCCUUGUCCCCAGGAAGCUCGCCAGUGCAUGGGACUGUGCAGGUGUCUUCACCUCUGCAUUAGGCAUUCGAUGUCAGGCCAUGGCUGAGCAUCCAUCCUCUCUAUGCUAAUUUUUUCCAAAAGUCAAGAGUUUGGAAGAACACUAAUGUGUUUUUCUUCCAGCCUUUCCUAUACAAAUGACAACAUCAUUACCCUCAGCUUUUAAAGUGCAAGUCUGUACAGAGAUCCCAGAGUCAAGGAGGGCGCCUGAGUCAUUUGAAAUAAUUACCUUUUUUUUUUCCUGCCUGAGUCUUGCAUAUCUGUGAAUCAGCAAUGUGGAAACUGGGCUUCAAAAAAAUUAAGGGAGGCUUAAAGUGAGCAAAGCAGAG